rnacentral:rRNA from 1 species
AACCAGCACCUCAAGUGGUCAGGAUGAUUAUUGGGCCUAAAGCAUCCGUAGCCUGUUCUAUAAGUUUCCGGUUAAAUCCAUACGCUCAACGUAUAGGCUGCCGUAAAUACUGUAGAACUAGGGAGUGGGAGAGGUAGACGGUACUCGAUAGGAAGGGGUAAAAUCCUUUGAUCUAUUGAUGACCACCUGUGGCGAAGGCGGUCUACCAGAACACGUUCGACGGUGAGGGAUGAAAGCUGGGAGCAAACUGG